rnacentral:rRNA from 1 species
GGCGUAAGCGCGCGCAGGCGGUUUCUUAAGUCUGAUGUGAAAGCCCCCGGCUCAACCGGGGAGGGUCAUUGGAAACUGGGGAACUUGAGUGCAGAAGAGGAGAGUGGAAUUCCACGUGUAGCGGUGAAAUGCGUAGAGAUGUGGAGGAACACCAGUGGCGAAGGCGACUCUCUGGUCUGUAACUGACGCUGAGGCGCGAAAGCGUGGGGAGCGAACAGGAUUAGAUACCCUGGUAGUCCACGCCGUAAACGAUGAGUGCUAAGUGUUAGAGGGUUUCCGCCCUUUAGUGCUGCAGCAAACGCAUUAAGCACUCCGCCUGGGGAGUACGGUCGCAAGACUGAAACUCAAAGGAAUUGACGGGGGCCCGCACAAGCGGUGGAGCAUGUGGUUUAAUUCGAAGCAACGCGAAGAACCUUACCAGGUCUUGACAUCCUCUGACAACCCUAGAGAUAGGGCUUCCCCUUCGGGGGCAGAGUGACAGGUGGUGCAUGGUUGUCGUCAGCUCGUGUCGUGAGAUGUUGGGUUAAGUCCCGCAACGAGCGCAACCCUUGAUCUUAGUUGCCAGCAUUCAGUUGGGCACUCUAAGGUGACUGCCGGUGACAA